rnacentral:ncRNA from 1 species
CUGGUUCCGGUUCACGACCCCGCUGAAGACAGCACCGAGGGGACGACCCGGCGACC